rnacentral:rRNA from 1 species
CCUACGGGAGGCAGCAGUGAGGAAUAUUGGUCAAUGGGCGCGAGCCUGAACCAGCCAAGUCGCGUGAGGGAGGACGGCCCUACGGGUUGUAAACCUCUUUUGCCGGGGAGCAACGGGCGUCACGUGUGGCGCCACUGAGAGUACCCGGAGAAAAAGCAUCGGCUAACUCCGUGCCAGCAGCCGCGGUAAUACGGAAGGUCCGGGCGUUAUCCGGAUUUAUUGGGUUUAAAGGGAGCGUAGGCCGGUCUUUAAGCGUGCCGUGAAAUUUUGUGGCUCAACCAUGAGAGUGCGGCGCGAACUGGAGACCUUGAGUGCGCGGAAGGCAGGCGGAAUUCGUGGUGUAGCGGUGAAAUGCUUAGAUAUCACGAAGAACCCCGAUUGCGAAGGCAACCUGCCGCAGCGUUACUGACGCUGAAGCUCGAAAGCGCGGGUAUCGAACAGGAUUAGAUACCCUUGUAGUC